rnacentral:rRNA from 1 species
CCUACGGGAGGCAGCAGUGGGGAAUAUUGGGCAAUGGGCGCAAGCCUGACCCAGCAACGCCGCGUGAAGGAAGACGGCUUUCGGGUUGUAAACUUCUUUUCUCAGGGACGAAGAACGUGACGGUUCCUGAGUUCUACGCCACGGCUAACAACGUGCCAGAAGCAGCGGUAAUACGGGGGUGGCAAGCGUUAUCCGGAUUUAUUGGGUGUAAAGGGCGUGUAGGCGGGAGCGUAAGGCAGAUGUGAAAACUCAGGGCUCAACCCUGAGCCUGCAUUUGAAACUGUGUUUCUUGAGUGCUGGAGAGGCAAUCGGAAUUCCGUGUGUAGCGGUGAAAUGCGUAGAUAUUAGGAGGAACACCAGUGGCGAAGGCGGUCUGCUGGACAGCAACUGACGCUGAGGCGCGAAAGCGUGGGGAGCAAACAGGAUUAGAUACCCCAGUAGUC